CAGUCGCCACGGUAAUACGAAGGGUGCAAGCGUUAAUCGGAAUUACUGGGCGUAAAGCGUGCGUAGGCGGUGAGUUAAGUCUGCUGUGAAAUCCCCGGGCUCAACCUGGGAACUGCGCUUGUGACUGCACAGCUAGAGUAUGGCAGAGGGGGGUGGAAUUCCACGUGCAGCAGUGAAAUGCGUAGAGAUGUGGAGGAACACCGAUGGCGAAGGCAGCCCCCUGGGCCAAUACUGACGCUCAUGCACGAAAGCGUGGGGAGCAAACAGGAUUAGAUACCCCAGUAGUCCCUGUCUCUUAUAC
rnacentral:rRNA from 1 species